rnacentral:rRNA from 1 species
GAAUUACUGGGCGUAAAGCGUGCGCAGGCGGUUCGUUGUGUCCGAUGUGAAAGCCCCGGGCUUAACCUGGGAAUGGCAUUGGAAACUGGCGAGCUUGAGUGUGGCAGAGGGGGGUGGAACUCCUGGUGUAGCAGUGAAAUGCGUAGAGAUCAGGAAGAACACCGAUGGCGAAGGCAGCCCCCUGGGCUAACACUGACGCUCAGGCACGACAGCGUGGGGAGCAAACAGGAUUAGAUACCCUGGUAGUCCACGCCCUAAACGAUGUCAACUGGGUGUCGGGGAAGCGAUUUCUCGGUACCGUAGCUAACGCGUGAAGUUGACCGCCUGGGGAGUACGGCCGCAAGGUUAAAACUCAAAGGAAUUGACGGGGACCCGCACAAGCGGUGGAUGAUGUGGAUUAAUUCGAUGCAACGCGAACAACCUUACCUACCCUUGACAUGUCUGGAAGCCUGCUGAAAGGCGGGUGUGCUCGAAAGAGAACCGGAACACAGGUGCUGCAUGGC